rnacentral:ribozyme from 1 species
ACUCGUCUGAGCGAGUAUAAACAGUAAUUAAGCUCAGAGCGUCUCGGAGUGAUCCGGGGGUUUAG